CAAUAGCGUAUAUUAAAGUUGUUGCAGUUAAAAAGCUCGUAGUUGAAUUUCUGUUCACCGGUCACCGGCACACUUGUGCUCGUGUGAUUGGUGGGCAUCCUUCUAGGCGUUCCUCACGGAUACGCUUAGAACCUUUACUGUGAGAAAAUUAGAGCGUUCCAAGCAAGCGAUUGCUUUGAAUACUACAGCAUGGAAUAAUACUAUAGGACUUUUGUGCCUAUUUGUUGGUGUUAGGCCGAAAGUAAUGAUUAAUAGGGGCAGUUGGGGGCAUUCGUAUUUGACAGCCAGAGGUGAAAUUCUUGGACUUGUCAAAGACGAACUACUGCGAAAGCAUUUGCCAAGGAUGUUUUCAUUAA
rnacentral:rRNA from 1 species